AAGCUCGUAGUUGAAUUUCGGGGUUAGUAGGUUGGUCAUGCCUCUGGUAUGUACUGGUCUCACUGAUUCCUCCUUCCUUAUGAACCGUAAUGCCAUUAAUUUGGUGUUGCGGGGAAUUUGGACUGUUACUUUGAAAAAAUUAGAGUGUUUAAAGCAAGCUAACGCUUGAAUACAUUAGCAUGGAAUAAUAGAAUAGGACGGCAUGGUUCUAUUUUGUUGGUUUCUAGGAUCACCGUAAUGAUUAAUAGGGAUAGUUGGG
rnacentral:rRNA from 1 species